UACAGAGGGUGCGAGCGUUGUUCGGAAUUAUUGGGCGUAAAGCGCGUGUAGGCGGCUUUGCAAGUCGGGUGUGAAAGCCCUCAGCUCAACUGAGGAAGUGCGCCCGAAACUGCAUGGCUUGAGUACCGGAGAGGAUGGCGGAAUUCCCCAAGUAGAGGUGAAAUUCGUAGAUAUCUGGAGGAACACCGGUGGCGAAGGCGGCAUCCUGGACCGACACUGACGCUGAGGAGCGAAAGCCAGGGGAGCAACGGG
rnacentral:rRNA from 1 species